rnacentral:lncRNA from 1 species
AGAAACACCACCUAUUAGUCCAUCAUCCACCGUCGGAUUGAUCUGGUUUUUUUAUAUGUUGUGCGCCGUAAUAUGAUCUACAAACUGACCGUUCGGAUCUCGAUUAUCUUCUUCCGUUUGAGACUUUUUGGGAUUGCAAUAUUUCUGGAAAAAACUGUGUUCGGGGCAGACAAAGUUGCCGGCCUAUUCAGCUUCUGUUCACCAUUGGAUCUGCUCUAAUUUUGGUAGGGAUGUUCACCCAAGUCUCCUCUUCACUCUGAACGGUGAAGAUCGGAUUUGGAACCAUUUUGCACAGGUUGGAAUUCUGGGUUCAUUUUUUGCCAAUUUUCAGGUCAUCUAUGUUCCUCGUUCAUCGUGGCUAUUUUAACCGCUGGAUAAGGCUGGGUUUUUUAUAUGUUAGACGUAACUUGAUUGGCUCGAACUUGACCGUCGGGAUUUAUUUGGUUUUUCUUUAUUUGUUAGUUUUGCUUGGUUCGUAAUUUGGUGGUUUGGGAUAAAGAAGGAGAAAGGAAGUGUGAACCGAGAGUCUGUGUG